AAAAGGAAAAUUAGGUAGUUCACAGGAAACUAUGAACUGAAUUGACUCACUCACUGCCAGAGAGACAACACAUGACCCACCAGAGUGUAGGGCCCCUUUAAGAAAUCAGGGUGUGGUUCAUUUAUAAUAAAACAAUAAUUUUUUAAAAAGAUAGAAUCAGUGAAGUAUCAGGGUACACUCCAGGGCAGAAAGGUUCUUGGUGGUCUGGGAUCAACCUUGCAGUAAUACUUGGAUUUGUUAAAAAGAAAACAGAGGCGGCUAAAAAAAACAUAGCCUAAGAGGCCUGCACAUAAGCACAGACAGUCUGUACAGCCCAAAGCUCUCUGGAAGAACAAUGACACAAGCCUGAGCUUAAAGAAAAGUCUAACGGACCAGAAGCCUGACAGCUCAGAUCAGCUUCAAAAGGACAGGGCAAGUCAGUGAGCACUGACUUAGUGCCCCUCAGUUCCGGCUUCAGGAAGAAUAAAUUCCUCCACAAGGCACACAAGACGACAUUAGCCCGAGGGACCAAGGCUCUCAUGGACCAGUCGGCUUCAGGAACAGACUAUCUGCUGGCAGCUUUUUUUCCGAGAGAGACGGGACUGGGCGGAGGGGGGAGGGGGGAGGGAGGGCCGAGAGAUGGGGGGGAGGGUGGGGGGACUGGCUAUUUCCCUCUGGGGAUGGAUAGCAAAGAGAGGAUACACGGCUGUACCGUACAGGGAAGUGGGCACCACAAGGAGCGAGGGACAGGCAAACACGCAUCCCACCCGGUCCAACUACCUUUACAAAGUGGUCUUUGUCUCCGUAGUCUGUAUUAGUCACACAUCCGGCAGAUCAUCAUCUGGUGGGGAUGUAUCUAACAGAAACCUUCAGGAAGCAGGCCUGGUAACACCUUAAGGAAAGCCCUAGAAGACAUCAGCAUCCCUGAAUUGUCUAAGGUAAGAAUUGCCUCUAUACUUGUCCACGGUGGUCAUAUGUGUCUACAUCUCCAUAUAUACACCCUGGCCACACAUAUUCCCUAUGUUGGGGCCUUUCCACUCUCAUUGCCUACAUGUCUGCAUUCUUCCCAUGGCUGAUAUGUAUAUAUGUGGGGGAAUGUGUUCCAAGAUUUUCCUGUAAACAACACAUUGUAGGUUUUUAAUCUAUUCUGCUAUCCGCUUACAUUUUAUGGGACAGUUCAUUCCAUUCACAUUCACAGUUAUGAUUACUAUCUGUGACUUUCUCUCCAUCCUAUUUCAUCGCUGUUUAUGUUUUUCUUUCUCCUUUCUCCCUUUCCCUCCUCACUAGUGUUUUGCUUUUGACCACCACCUCCUUCAGUC
rnacentral:lncRNA from 1 species